GUCCAAGGUGAUUCCCUCGCCAAGGGGUCACCUAGUGCCCUCUCAGCAAAGUAGCAACUUGGAAUAAAAUCUGACAAGCUCAAGAUCUUUAGGAGAGAGGGAAUGUUUUUCCUUUUGCUUUCCUUUGACUACCCACAUAA
rnacentral:snoRNA from 1 species